UUUUUUUUUUUUUUUAAGCCAUGUUAUGGUCUAGACUCUAAAGAGAUUCUAUUUUUCUUUCUAAAAUAUACCAGAUUUUUCAUACAAAAGAGAAAGCAAGUGGUAUUAAUCAGGGACCAGGCUUGUGAGUUUUCUGAAAGGAAUGCAGACCAGGUGGGAAAUGUUUCCUCUUUUUUUUUUUUUUUUUUUUUGGCCACUCCACGGGUAUGCGGAAGUGCUGAGGCCAGGAAUUGAACUUGUGCCACAGCGGUGACAAUGCCGGAUCCUUAACCUGCUGAGUCUUCGGUCUCCUCAUUUUUAAAGCAAAAGAUUUGAGCAAAAUGGCUUUAGGGUUUCUUCUGGCUGUAGCUCUUCUUGGACACUUUGUCACCUACACCAAAGCUUGUGCAGGUUCACAUGGAGAUUCAUCUUAUUUCCCUUGCUCAUGUACGGAGGUGAUAUGUGAUGUCCGCAGUUGACAGAUGGCCGUCUCUCUGAUGAGAUUCUCUUUGGAGUUAGACUAAAGAGAGAGGGUUUUAGGAUUUGGAGCAUAAUCUAGCACUCACAAGUGACACCUUCUUUCUGUUUCUGUUGUGGUCUCUGUAGUUGCUGCCCAGGUCUGCAUUCAUGUUAAUAAUCAUUAUAAUUGUAAUACUAAUAAAAUCAAGGAGGAAUCCUCUCCCUCCCGCCUUACUUUCAUCUCCACUCCGUCAUUAAUUUUCUUAACUUCCUAUCUCACCUCAUACAACAAUGAACACUUUCCAAUUUACCGAAACAGUUGUUCUGUAGAAGACCAGCGCGCUCCAGUGACUCAGUAUCGUUAUAUCUUCAUCAGCCCCGAAAGAAGAGUGUGCUGGCGUGUGUUUGUGUGCGUGCCCGCCCAUCCACGCCGAGUUGAGAAACACGAGUUAGGCGCAGGAAUGAUGAGACGGUUGGGCUUCAAAGAGAACAUUUGUAGAUUCUAUCUGGAACACAUUUUAUUAAAAUUGCAGCAAACUUUAUAAAAUCAGAUGUAUGGUUCAUUAAGGGAACAUUACCUUACAAUUAUGAUUAAUUAGAUUAAACUUAUGAAAGUGUGUUAUUUGUUCAAAUCAAAAGGGUGGGGGAAGAUGAUGGAUGAUGCAAGAGAGCGAUAAAUGAAGAAAGAAGCCGAACUAAAUUGAAUGUGUAUUCAUCCGUUUUCACUUCAUAACUAAUGAUAAAUUGAGCAUGUCACACUUAACAAUACACGUCUGGGAGCAAGCCCACGGUUUCAGCGCCUGUUCGCUAAUGCCUUGUGAUAGGUAGUUGAGACCAAAGAAGUGAAAUUUUAGCCCUUGGACUUUUGUCUGCUUGCAUCUUUCCUUGGAAAACACAGUGGAUGCUUACUAACUGAAUGAAAAUAAGGGACAGAAUUUAAGUUUUUACGUAAGAGAAAAACCGUGCUUCCAACUCUCUUCGUUUCCCCCCCAGAGGGAGGUCCCCCCCCCGUUUUCAGGCUGGGUCAGGUGGCAGAGGUGGAAGCACCCAGGGCUGCGGGAACGUCUUUCCCUUUCCCUUCUCCAGCGCAGCCGUGUUUACCUUGGCAAGUGAUUGGAAGAAACACCCUGAGAAGCUCAUUAGACAGUCUGGGAAAUUUGGAAGUGCGGGGUAAACCUUAGACAGUUUACAUCAGUUUCCUGAAAUAAGUUCUCCUAUAUUUUAAAAUCACAUUGUAGCCUCUCAAGGACCAUCUGAGAUUUACAGAACUGGUGUGGGGGUCACACCAACUGGGAGAAAGUGUGUGGAAAUAUUUCCAGUCAGACUGAAAUUAGAGGUUUGUCGCAGAGAGUCAGGCGUGGUUAUAAGAAGAAUCCCCUUUUGCUAAAAAAAAGUUCAGAAGGGUAAGGCUAUAGGGUCUGACACACGAGCAGUAUUUCCCUGCUCUUUAGUUCUCAUUGCAAUUGAGUUAGGAUGAUAUAAAGUGAGUGACAUUUUCUGAAAAUGUUACAAAACUAUAUAUAUAUAUAUAUAUAUAGUUAUAUAGUUAUAUAUUUGUAUAUAUGCAUAGUUUCUGGAUACAUUACAAAACUAUAUAUAUAAAACUGUGUGUAUAUAUAUAUAUAGUUUUCUAAAAGGACUUUGGUAAGAUUCAUUUUAAUGGUGGUGAAAGUUUCUAGGCAGUUUUCAUUUUAUCCGUGCCCCAUCUGUAAGCCCCACCUCAAAAUCGCUUUAACCAAAAGACCGGGGAUGCUGCUUAAUGACCUGCAGGGACAGGACAGCCCCUAACACCAAAGAAUUAUCUGAAUUAAUCCAGUUCAGAAUGUCAUUAGCGAUGAGGUUGAAAAACUCUGGCCUAGAAUUUAACGAACGGCAACUUGGUGAACUUGGUGACCAGGUGACAGUGAGACUGAAGGUAAAGCACAAGGCUGACGUAUAGAACUAAGUCUUAAUAAACACUCGUCUCAAAGGGCCCGGAACGCAUCGGCCAGUACUAUGCCAAAGGACCCCAAACUCAACAACGCCGCUAUAAAUAACGCUAAUAACUUUAAGUAGGGUAUGGCAUAAAUUGGGUUCGUCUUGGAUCUGAACCAAAGCAAUUUAAUUCCUGAAGUGCCAGAAUAAUUUUGCUCCGUUCAAGUCAUUUUCGUCCUGUGUUCCCUCAGGAGCCGAUGUGUGAGAUGACAGUGGGGUUUUUAGGAGGUCUUAUAACCGCUGCUUUUCCACCGGAGGGGAACUGGAGGGUAGGCUUUGGCCUCAUGGCUAAAUUAGAAACAGAACCGGAACCGGAAUUCAGCUUGCCCGAGUGUCGCUUGAUUCUCCAGUUAAACCCCUUCUCCUCUUCAGCCCAGGACGCUGCUCCCUCUCCUGCAAGGAGACGGUCUCUAUUAACAGCAGAUUGUCUUGGCAAAGAGUAUCUCGAAGGUGAAGGAGGGUGGUGGAGGCUCGAGUCGCAGAAAAGUAUUCAAACGAGGAGCUUAGAGGAAGAACCUGUCACACUUGUCUGAGUUCUGACGUGAAAAUACAUUUCGGGGCCAAGACAAUUCAUCUGUCAGGCUUCCUGUUGGAAGAAUAUUUGCUCAGCUGUGAGAGGAGAGCUCCAGUGAACAUCCAAGAUAAUGAAAGUUUGAUAAUACUCAAUAUUCGGGAAAUAACCCUGAAUCGAGUAGGUUCUUAGUGUCAAGAUGCAAGAUGAUAAAGAACCUUGAGAAAAGUUCCUAGGGAGCAGGAAGCAACAGAGCCCACAUCAGCGGGGUUUUCUGACUGGGAGGUGAGGGUUCUGUCUUUCUCAGGAGGAGUCCUUGUUCCGUUCACAAUUUUUUGUGUGUGUUUGUUUCACCUCUUUUGGAAAACUAUAAAAC
rnacentral:lncRNA from 1 species